UGGUCACCUGACACUGGGUGCCAAAGGACACCAGCAUGGUGAGAGUCAAUGCCGGGCUAAAGUCUGGGACUUGAGGGCUUCCAUCCUGUCCCAAGGUUCUUGGAAGAGACAUUGCCAGGAGACUGGAAUUCAUUCCCUAGCAUCCAUAUCAAGUGAGUCACAAUGAUGGUAACUACAGCUUUAGUGGGCCUGAUGCCCUCUUCUGGUCUUUGGCCACUUGCACACACCUGCAUGCGUUUGAAACAAACAAAAAUAAACAAAAUUUUAAACGGCAA